rnacentral:rRNA from 1 species
GACGGGUUUUUAGGAGGCGUGGAGAGGGGUAGAUAGAGUUGUCGUGUUCAGCACGACUUGUGUUCAGCACCCAAAGAGAAGGGGUUGUGGAGACGGCCGACCGCCGCCAUCCGCUAAGAGGCGGUAGAGAAGCUAACGUCUAUACUGCGCUUCAUUUGAAGUACAACAACUUACGUUACUACUUAUGUACCGCCUCCUUGUAUAACUUGUACUCUUACGGUACGCAUUUCUACGACUAAGUAGAGUACAAGUUGGUAGUAGAACAUUACCACUUCUUCCGAACUGACUAUCACUUCUACUUCUCCUGGUCCUACUGUCACGACGAUUACUUGUUCUACUUUUACCUCUUUGUUGGUUCGCACCGUCCUGUUCCGAUUUUCUUUAUACCUUAGAAGGUUUUCCCGUCUCUUAACACCAGAUCACGUUACUUGAUUUGGUCGGUUAACCUUUUCUUCGACCUGCAGAACGCUUAAAAGAACCGUGCUAACGAUCCUUACCUUUUAACACAUCAAACUCGAUGUUCCUGACCUCUUUUGAUUAUCCUCUCUCUCUUUUUUUCUGGUUACUUGUUUCUUUGUUUUCCCUAUAUGAUCACGUUCAUUUCUACUCCAAAGAAAUGGGAAGAGCAAACCUUUUCAUAUAUAAUUUUUUUAACCUCUAUCUACCUCCCUUGUAUUCAGUCUAGACUUUCGUAACAUAAAACUACGUUUGUUCUUGUACCUUCACUUAUUGUGGUUACAAGGUUUCCCACACUAAUUCCUAGUCACCUAAUGAGACCAGUCAUUAACCUACUGGGGUUUCCGUGUCCAUGUAUGUGAACGGUCUAAACAAUACAUGUACAACGAGUCAGUACCAUACUUUAAUACUUUUUAUAUACACGUAUGUAAUAUGUUAACAAACUGUCCCCUAUUCACUCUGUUUAUCCUUGUUAACACGCUACUCCUUCAGAUUUGUGUGCCGAUCUUGAUUCUCAAAAGGUGCUCAAUCUCUUCUCGAUCAGUCAAAUAUUCUUGAGCUUGAUAUACGUACAUGUAGGGUAAACAUGACGUCCAGAAAUUAUUUAAUUGACAAACUGGUUAUCUCUGAUUUCCUAGGCCUUUUCUUCAUGGGUGUGUCCCGACAGAAUAUGUACGUAUGUGUAUUCGUGUUUUCGCUGUUCUUUUACUUACUUGUUCACCAUACUAUAACUGAGAGAAAAUAGAUUUUAAUAUUACAACAAAUGGUGUAACAAGACUGUAUGUUAUAAGUACAUAUAUCCAACUAAACUUCUUUGCAUAUCGCCGCUUAGGUUUAAAUCAUCUAUGAUCAUCUCCUUUCUGUCGUACCUUUCCUCUACAAAACUUACGUCAUGAACCGGGUCUGUUCGGACCUGUACAUGUACCGGAGCCUGAUCAAGGCUUAGGUUUAGUUCAGAAACUACACAGUUGAAGUGCGGUGAAAGUCUUAUAUGUGGAAUCAAGUAACCUCCUAUGUAGCUUACUUCUAGAAAACCGACAGUCUGAAUUCUACCUCUUCAACCUCUUUUCUCACCUUUUGGUUCUACGGUUUUAAGACCUUGAUUUUCCCUUCUGUUUUUUGAGACUUCCUGUCCAUUUAAGCUUCUUAAAGAGGUAAUAAGUUAUGUACAUGAUUAAAAAUCCAAAAUCAAUGUCCCAAGAAACCUAGUCUAUAGAUUUAGAGCUCUACAAGGAAGAUAACGAUUCUGUUAAAGUUUCUCUUUUCAUACACAGAAAUGUUUCCAAAUUGUUAAAAAAACUACGGUAAAAUGUUCAUACAAGAAUCAGAACAAACCAAAGUUAGUUGUUUCUUAAAUACCGCCGCCAGUCUCAGUUGAUGAACCAUGACAACCCGUUGUCUUAUUACACUUCUCGUUCCUUUGUAAAGAGCUACUGUCCCUCUACGUUGGUAGUAUGUUUGCAGGACGACACCUAUUCUUGUUACUCAGAAAGUAGGUGCUACUUUUACACGUUGUUCUCUUCCUUUUGUGGUCACGUCUAUUCCCAAGAAACUCACUCCUCAGAUGUAGAGUUCUACGAGAAACACAAUCGUUCUGUUUAAGUUUUGUUUUUUCGUUCCUUUUGAAAGAGAUACUGUACCUCUACGUUGGUAGUUUGUUUGCAGGAAGAUUCCUAUUCUUAUUUCUAUGAAGAUAGGUACUACUUGUACACGUUGUUCUCUUUCUUUUGUGAUCACGUCUAUUCUUGUGAUCAUUCUAGAGUUCUCCUCGAUUACGUUGUUUCGUACGGUUAUUUGUUGUUACGUCAUGUUGUUUAACGGACCCACGACUGAGCUAUCUACAACCGUGACAUCAUAAAAACUUCUCGAACCCUUUAGGUUUGUCCUUACAACGAGAACCAUGCGAGGUUUCGUAACUUGGUCUUAUAUUUCAACUCCCACAAGUAGAACCAUUGACUUUCGUGUUCACGAGGGACACACUAAAACCAUUAAUUACAGUUGUAUAGAGAACAACCUGAUUACGAAGAUGGAUCAUACAAAGUCUAUUCAAGUUGUUACCUCACUGUACCUGUUCUCCUACACCUUGGGGAAGUUCUACGAUUCCUGUUUCCUAACCGAGUUCGAGCUUCGUGUUCUGAGAUGUAAAAGAUAAAAUCACUAGGUUCUAGUGUAACUCAGAUAUCCUUUUCGGUUAUGAUAAUUCCCUACUCCACAACGAAUUACCGAAUGAACGAGUUUUACGAAUCACUAUACGAGGUUUCAGGAGUUGGUGAAAGAGUGAAGGUGUAUACAGGAUUAAGUUUUUUAGUUUGAGCCGGGGUGGCUUUAACGUAUAAGCCUCGGUGACGGUCUUUGGGAUUAGUUAAGCCAGCGUGGCUACCCUAGAGUCAGAGUAGCUCUACCCGAACGUUUGAGAGACAACAAACAACGUUAUUAAAGCCAGGGUGGCUCUAAAUGUUAGCCGGGGUGGCUCAAACGAACCGGUUGUAAGACAAAGUGAAUAAUGGGUUUAGCCAGGGUGGCUCAAACUCAUUAGCCAGUUUAGCUCAAAACCUAAAUGGUAUUGGGAUCGUGUAACUAGGGUGGCUCAACUAGAUUAGCCAGGGUGGCUUUACGGAUUGCCAGUGUAAUACUUGGUUUAGCCAGGCUGGCUC